rnacentral:rRNA from 1 species
GCUAAAAACCUAGUCCUUCUUCAUCACAUGAAACAUCAACCCGCACAACAACCAACAAAACAUUUUUUUUCUUUAGUAAGGGCGACUGAAAAAUUAUUAAGAACUACAACAAAAGUACCGCAAGGGAAAAGUGAAAUAGAAAUUAAAUAAAAAUUAAGCACAACAAAGCAGAGACUCCCCUCGUACCUUUUGCAUCAUGGUUUAGCUAGUCAAACCAAGCACAAAGAAUUUUAGUUUGACCUCCCGAAACUAGGUGAGCUACUUCAAAACAGCCUAUCAAGGGCCAACCCGUCUCUGUUGCAAAAGAGUGGGAAGAUUUUCAAGUAGAGGUGACAGACCUACCGAACCUAGAGAUAGCUGGUUAUUUAGGAAAAGGAUUUUAGUCCUACCUUAAGUUCUUCCUUUAUUAAUAAAACAACUCCGAACUUAAGAGCUAUUCAAACAAGGUACAGCCUGUUUGAAACAGGGAACAACCUCAAAAAUAGGGUAACUCCAAAUGACAGGUGUCCAAGUGGGCCUAAAAGCAGCCAACUUUAAAAAAGCGUUACAGCUUCCUCACCAGUCACUUUAAUACCAAAAACACUACAUAACCCUUACCCAGUACUAAAUAACUCUAUACCCCUAUAGAAAUUAUUAUGCUAAAACUAGUAACAUGAAGAAGCCCUUCUCCUAAAUGUACAUGUACGCCAAAAAGAACAAUUCAUUGGCAUUUAACGCUACUGACCCUAAAGCAACAACUAUACAAGAGAAUCUUGCUAACACCAACGUUAACCUAACACAAGAACAUUUCAGGAAAGAUUAAAAGAGGUGGAAGGAACUCGGCAAAUUUUAACCCCGCCUGUUUACCAAAAACAUCGCCUCCUGCAACAUAUAGGAGGUCCAGCCUGCCCAGUGACCAAGUUAAACGGCCGCGGUACCCUAACCGUGCGAAGGUAGCGCAAUCACUUGUUCUUUAAAUGAGGACUAGUAUGAACGGCAUCACGAGGGUUACACUGUCUCCCACCUCCAAUCAGUGAAACUGAUCCCCCCGUGAAGAAGCGGGGAUAAAAUUAUAAGACGAGAAGACCCCAUGGAGCUUUAAACUCAGCACCAACCACCUACAACCAUAUCAUCUUAAACAAGUGGCCCUGACUGCUAGUUUUAGGUUGGGGUGACCGCGGAGCAAAACAAAACCUCCACGAUGAACGACCUCCUCUCUAAUCCGAGAGCCACCACUCAAAGAAUCAAAAAAUUGACACACAUUGACCCAAACUAUUUUGAUCAACGAACCAAGUUACCCUGGGGAUAACAGCGCAAUCCAUUUCAAGAGCUCCUAUCGACAAAUGGGUUUACGACCUCGAUGUUGGAUCAGGGUAUCCCAGUGGUGCAGCCGCUACUAAAGGUUCGUUUGUUCAACGAUUAAAACCCU